UAUCCUGUUCUCCAGAGACCAGAACUCACACCUUAGAAAAGCGAAGCCAGGCGCUUAGAGGAAGAGCAAAUGCUGCCAGGACGCGGAUUGUCCAUGGAAUACAUUCUAGCAUCUUAUUAGAGAUGGAGUUUGCCACAUUGCCCAGACUGGUCUCAGACACCUGGGAUUGGGUAUCCUGCCUUGGCCUCCCAAAGUGCUGGGAUUACAGGCAUGAGCCACCACACCCAAACACUUGAGAGGACCAAAGCAGAGGGUGCUGUUUCAAUGCCACCACCAGGAGAGAGGAAGAGGGGCUGGGCCGUGCUGGAGUCCUCAGGAAGGGAGUGACCUCGACCCUGGCUGUACUGCAAGCUGACUCCAGCCCUGGUACUUCUGGGUCUCAGUGGCCCAGGACAAGGGGCCAACUCUGGGCUGGUGGUCUAGAAGGAAAAGGAAGGUGAGCAGAUUGGCCUCCGGCAGGGACAGCAGCAGAUUGAGCAUGCAGCUCUCCUUUGCAACUGGGUCUGAAAGAGCUGCAGGAGGC